GGAUGUGAGGGUGAUCUGGCUGCGACAUCUGUCACCCCACUCUUCACCCCGGUUGAUUCAGCUUAUCUGGCUGGCUAGGAGGGUGUCCCCUUCCUCCCUCAAUGCUCCAUGUGCGUCCCUCCCGAAGCUGUGCGCUCAGUCGGUCGAAGAGGACGACCACCCCUGAUAGAGAGGACCGUUCCUCGGUCAAGGGUAUACGAGUAGCUGCGCUCCCCUGCUAGAACCUCCAAACAAGCUCUCAAGAAAAAGUAGAAAUGGCUGAUAAAUACAUAAAAAAAUGUUUAACAUCACUAGCCAUUAG
rnacentral:snRNA from 1 species